rnacentral:lncRNA from 1 species
CUGGGUUCUUCUGGAUAUAUGCUGAACAGAGAGAUGCAUUUUACCUCUGGGAGGUUUGGAGAGCAGGGGAAGAAAGCAAAAUUUGCUUACUUGAGAUCCUGAGGUGCCUGACUAGACCUUAAGAUGAAAAUGAUGAUAGAACUGGGACAUGCCUACACUGGGCAGGAAGGUGUGGUGCAGAAAUCCCCAGACGAACGCUGAACAAUCUAGCUCCAGACCUUGAACCAAAACAGCCAUGCAUGGAGCAAGCUUCAGCGAGCUCAGGACCAGCCCUGUGACAAUGCUGCUGAACCACCAGCUUCCCAGCUGGCCACCAUGCAGUGCUGUGGUGUUUGGAUGAUGCUGGGAUUCAAGGAUUCAAGUCAACCAGCAGCACAGAUCAUAAGAAACUGAUGAAGACAAACUGUGAGAAGAAGGUUCUUUUGCCCUACUGGCAGCUGACUCUGGUUGGACAUCAAAAAUUGGCUGACUUGUGUGCUUCCUUAAUUUUUUCCCCUCAUGUUUGAUAUUUUCAGCCUAUGUGACAAAGAAGAACAAGGCAUGUCUGAGUCACAUUAAUGCCCACUACACAUCCUUGGUAUACCACAGCAAGAGGCACAGAAAAGCUGGUUGGACUUCAUUCCUCUAAUCAAAUGUCAGAAAUGUUGUUAAAUGGAAGCGCUUUCCCUCACUUUCAUCCCCAGCAGACAGCCCUCGAACUGCAGAGACCCUCCCUUCACAAAUAAGUUUACAAGGAAGGAACUUGGGAAGUGAGGCUGCAUUUCAGGGAACUUAAACCUAUGUAAGAAAAUAUCCUUGAAAAAUUAUCCAUAACAAUUCAUAGGCUUCCUGGGAAGCCAUUGAGGCAUGAAAGUGCUGUGAAUAGUAUUAAAACAAUCCUGAUAACUAAGGAAAACAAUGUGCGGGUUUUUUUUCCCGGGUCUUUCUAGUUAACUGAAAUAUAUAACCAUAAUUUUAUGAGUUCAACAGUUUCCAGUUUCAGUGGUAGAUUCACCAUGCACUAAAGACUGAAUUUAACCCACUACCUUACCUAUUUAUCACAGAAGAUAUUGAUAUUCAAUACCAAUAUAAUGAAGAAUCUGGCUGUCCUUUAGCAAUUUCCAUUAAAAUGAAUCUCUGUCAUGGGAGCCAUAGAAAAAUCUCUGAUACUGGAUAUUUAUGUAUCUUAAUAUCCC